CAGCCGCCGCGGGAAUACGAAGGGGGCUAGCGUUGUUCGGAUUUACUGGGCGUAAAGCGCACGUAGGCGGAUCGAUCAGUCAGGGGUGAAAUCCCAGAGCUCAACUCUGGAACUGCCUUUGAUACUGUCGAUCUGGAGUAUGGAAGAGGUGAGUGGAAUUCCGAGUGUAGAGGUGAAAUUCGUAGAUAUUCGGAGGAACACCAGUGGCGAAGGCGGCUCACUGGUCCAUUACUGACGCUGAGGUGCGAAAGCGUGGGGAGCAAAUAGGAUUAGAUACCCGGGUAGUCCCUGUCUCUUAUAC
rnacentral:rRNA from 1 species